GAGUUUGAUCCUGGCUCAGCGCGAACGCUCGCGGCGCGCCUAACACAUGCAAGUCGUGCGCAGGCUCGCUCCCCACGGAGCGGGUGCUGAGCGGCAAACGGGUGAGUAACACGUGGGUAACCUACCCUCAGGUAGGGGAUAACCCCCCGAAAGGGGGGCUAAUACCCUAUACCGCCCGGUGUCACUAAGACACCGGGUAAAAGGGGGCCUCUGCUCCGCACGCUCCCGCCUGAGGAUGGGCCCGCGGCCCAUCAGGUUGUUGGUGGGGUAACGGCCCACCAAGCCUACGACGGGUAGCCGGCCUAAGAGGGUGUCCGGCCACAGCGGGACUGAGACACGGCCCGCACCCCUACGGGGGGCAGCAGUGGGGAAUCGUGGGCAAUGGGCGAAAGCCUGACCCCGCGACGCCGCGUGGGGGACGAAGCCCCUCGGGGUGUAAACCCCUGUCAGGGGGAACGAUAGGGCGGUGAGCUAAUACCUCUCCGCCCCGACGGUACCCCCUAAGAAAGGGACGGCUAACUACGUGCCAGCAGCCGCGGUAAUACGUAGGUCCCAAGCGUUGCGCGAUCUCACUGGGCGUAAAGCGUCCCCAGCCGGUCCGGCAAGCGACAUGUCAAAUACCACCGCCCAACGGUGACCAGGCAUGCCGUACUGCCGGACUUGAGGUUCGCCCAGGUAGGCGGAAUUCCCGGUGUAGCGGUGAAAUGCGUAGAUAUCGGGAGGAACACCAAAGGGGAAGCCAGCCUACUGGGGCAGCCCUGACGGUCACGGACGAAAGCUGGGGGAGCAAACCGGAUUAGAUACCCGGGUAGUCCCAGCCGUAAACCAUGGGCGCUAGGCGCUGUCCCCAUAAGGCAGUGCCCCAGCUAACGCGCUAAGCGCCCCGCCUGGGGAGUACUGGCGCAAGCCCGAAACUCAAAGGAAUUGGCGGGGGCCCGCACAACCGGUGGAGCGUCUGGUUCAAUUCGAUGCUAACCGAAUAACCUUACCCGGGCUUGACUCGCCGGAGCCACCCAGGUGAAAACUUGGGACCUCUGCUCCUCACGGAGCAGACUCCGGCACAGGCGGUGCAUGGCCGUCGUCAGCUCGUGUCGUGAGAUGUUGGGUUAA
rnacentral:rRNA from 1 species